UUGGUUAUGGGUAAAUAUUGAAACAGUUUUGCCUACAAAUUCCGUUGAAUGGGAAGUACAAUUUCCGUUAACUGACGACGCCUUUCUUACGCCAUUAAUUAGCAACGAACAGUUAAAAACCCCAUAUUUGAAGGCUUCAUCAAGUCUUGUGAAUACGGCUGUUAGUGUUUAUAUAAAAGAA
rnacentral:sRNA from 1 species